rnacentral:RNase_P_RNA from 2 species
GACAGAGGGAGCCCGACUCCCGUGCCGCUGGCAUGAGGAAAGUCCCCCCACCGGCCGGACGGGCGACCGGGCACACGCCCGGAGUCGGAGACGGCUGGCUCUGGAACAGCAACGAGACCCCCCGCCCCGACCGAUGACUCGCGCGAACCGACCCGCGAGGGAAGGGAGUUAACCCGGAGAGGGCACGUGGCGGUACCACGUCACAGACGGGCGGGAACGGAUGGAACGGCGAAUCCUCGCCGGUGCAAGUCCGCGCCACCAGGUAGUCCGGCCACGGCGCGGACGCUCAGCCGAAUGUCGGGACGAACUGAAGGGGGCUUACUCCCCUCAGUC